rnacentral:rRNA from 1 species
ACACGUGGUAUCCUGUCUGAAUAUGGGGGGACCAUCCUCCAAGGCUAAAUACUCCUGACUGACCGAUAGUGAACCAGUACCGUGAGGGAAAGGCGAAAAGAACCCCGGCGAGGGGAGUGAAAAAGAACCUGAAACCGUGUACGUACAAGCAGUGGGAGCACGCUUAGGCGUGUGACUGCGUACCUUUUGUAUAAUGGGUCAGCGACUUAUAUUCUGUAGCAAGGUUAACCGAAUAGGGGAGCCGAAGGGAAACCGAGUCUUAACUGGGCGUUAAGUUGCAGGGUAUAGACCCGAAACCCGGUGAUCUAGCCAUGGGCAGGUUGAAGGUUGGGUAACACUAACUGGAGGACCGAACCGACUAAUGUUGAAAAAUUAGCGGAUGACUUGUGGCUGGGGGUGAAAGGCCAAUCAAACCGGGAGAUAGCUGGUUCUCCCCGAAAGCUAUUUAGGUAGCGCCUCGUGAAUUCAUCUCCGGGGGUAGAGCACUGUUUCGGCAAGGGGGUCAUCCCGACUUACCAACCCGAUGCAAACUGCGAAUACCGGAGAAUGUUAUCACGGGAGACACACGGCGGGUGCUAACGUCCGUCGUGAAGAGGGAAACAACCCAGACCGCCAGCUAAGGUCCCAAAGUCAUGGUUAAGUGGGAAACGAUGUGGGAAGGCCCAGACAGCCAGGAUGUUGGCUUAGAAGCAGCCAUCAUUUAAAGAAAGCGUAAUAGCUCACUGGUCGAGUCGGCCUGCGCGGAAGAUGUAACGGGGCUAAACCAUGCACCGAAGCUGCGGCAGCGACGCUGAUGCGUUGUUGGGUAGGGGAGCGUUCUGUAAGCCUGUGAAGGUGUGCUGUGAGGCAUGCUGGAGGUAUCAGAAGUGCGAAUGCUGACAUAAGUAACGAUAAAGCGGGUGAAAAGCCCGCUCGCCGGAAGACCAAGGGUUCCUGUCCAACGUUAAUCGGGGCAGGGUGAGUCGACCCCUAAGGCGAGGCCGAAAGGCGUAGUCGAUGGGAAACAGGUUAAUAUUCCUGUACUUGGUGUUACUGCGAAGGGGGGACGGAGAAGGCUAUGUUGGCCGGGCGACGGUUGUCCCGGUUUAAGCGUGUAGGCUGGUUUUCCAGGCAAAUCCGGAAAAUCAAGGCUGAGGCGUGAUGACGAGGCACUACGGUGCUGAAGCAACAAAUGCCCUGCUUCCAGGAAAAGCCUCUAAGCAUCAGGUAACAUCAAAUCGUACCCCAAACCGACACAGGUGGUCAGGUAGAGAAUACCAAGGCGCUUGAGAGAACUCGGGUGAAGGAACUAGGCAAAAUGGUGCCGUAACUUCGGGAGAAGGCACGCUGAUAUGUAGGUGAAGCGACUUGCUCGUGGAGCUGAAAUCAGUCGAAGAUACCAGCUGGCUGCAACUGUUUAUUAAAAACACAGCACUGUGCAAACACGAAAGUGGACGUAUACGGUGUGACGCCUGCCCGGUGCCGGAAGGUUAAUUGAUGGGGUCAGCGCAAGCGAAGCUCUUGAUCGAAGCCCCGGUAAACGGCGGCCGUAACUAUAACGGUCCUAAGGUAGCGAAAUUCCUUGUCGGGUAAGUUCCGACCUGCACGAAUGGCGUAAUGAUGGCCAGGCUGUCUCCACCCGAGACUCAGUGAAAUUGAACUCGCUGUGAAGAUGCAGUGUACCCGCGGCAAGACGGAAAGACCCCGUGAACCUUUACUAUAGCUUGACACUGAACAUUGAGCCUUGAUGUGUAGGAUAGGUGGGAGGCUUUGAAGUGUGG